GACGUAGGGCGCGAGCGUUGUCCGGAUUUAUUGGGCGUAAAGAGCGUGUAGGCGGCUAGGUAGGUCCGUUGUGAAAACUCGAGGCUCAACCUCGAGACGCCGAUGGAAACCAUCUAGCUAGAGUCCGGAAGAGGAGAGUGGAAUUCCUGGUGUAGCGGUGAAAUGCGCAGAUAUCAGGAAGAACACCCGUGGCUAAGGCGGCUCUCUAGUACGGUACUGACGCUGAGACGCGAAAGCGUGGGGAGCGAACAGG
rnacentral:rRNA from 1 species